GCCGUGAGGGAUCGGUGACGCCACCUUGGCAGCGACGGAACCGAUGCUCCGACCCUACUGCUUACGCCAUUAACAAGACGUGUCAAGCACAGAGGUCGUGAGGGAACGGUGCGCGCCACCAUCUUGAUGGGCGAUGGAACCGGUGCUCCGACCCUACUGCUUACGCCAUUAACAAGCCGCGUCAAGCACAGAGGUCGUGAGGGAACGGUGCGCGCCACCAUCUUGACGGGCGACGAAACCGGUGCUCCGGCCUCUGGCUUUCUGAUUUGUGAUGGAUGGAGAUGUUGGUAAAGAGAAUCUAUCUCAGUUCAUUAACAAUGAUCUGAGGAUUGUUCCAAGUGAAGAGAAUGCUCCAUCUCAGUCCAUUAACAAUGAUCUGAGCAGUGUUGCCCCUACCCCUAUUGACCUUGAAGAGGGUGCUGCUACCGACAAUGGUUCUGCCCCCACUUCUGAUGCUGAUGGGAAAUGUGCCCUUGGGAAAUUUCUAUAAGUAUUUUGGUGAUUAGAUGCCCAACACAUUAAUUGAGUACUUAUGUGCGAGAAGUGCAAAUCAGAGACAAAGGUACGUUUCUAGACUUGGUAUAUUGUUUUAUGUACUAACAUGGUUAUCCAAGUGCUAGAAACAGUGACUAAAGAAGAAGCGAAGAAAAGGGAAAGAGUUGGCUGUGUGCAGCCAACACCAGCUCACUCUGGCACACCGGACUGUCCGGUGCGCCAGGCUGGCCGGCGGUGAACUGGCUACUCUCGGGAAAACGCAGAGGCGUACGGCUAUAAUUCACCGGACUAUCCGGUGGUGCACCGGACUGUCCGGUGAGCCAACGGUCGCCAGCGCCAACGGUCGGCUGCGCAAUCCGCGGGCGACGCGUGGCCCGCAGCAACGAUCGGUUGGGCACACCGGACUGUCCAGUGUGCACCAGACAGUGUCCGGUGCGCCAAUCGACCCCGAGGACCAACGGUCGGAUGCGCUAGAUAUGGAAGGAGAUCGCGCACCGGACAACUACAGUGACUGUCCGGUGGUGCAUCGGACUGUCCGGUGCACCACCUGACAGAAGGUAAGUUUGGCCUUCCAAGUUGGUCUCCAAUGGCUCCUAGCUGCCUUAGGGCUAUAAAAGGGACCCCUAGGCGCAUGGAGGAGUAUACCAAGCCUUCACGAAACAUUCUAAGACUCCCAGACUUCGACUCCACGCUUUUGAUUCUCUGUGUUAGCGAUUUGAGCUCCAUUUGAGUUGCGAACUCCGUGUGUUGUGUACUCGAGCUCAAGUUGUGACUCGUGUGUGUGGUUGUGCUGCGGAGUUGAGUCUUAUGUGUGUUGCUCUCCCCAACCUUACUCUGUGCUUUCUCUGUGAUCUCAAUUGUAAGGGCGAGAGACUCCAAAUUGUGGAGAUUCCUCGCAAACGGGAAACAUACUCUAAAGGAAAAGACCGUGGUAUUAAAGUUGAUCAUCAGAUCACUUGAAAGGGGUUGAGUGCAACCCUCGUCCAUUGGGACGCCACAACAUGGAAGUAGGCAAGUGUUACUUGGCCAAACCAUGGGAUAAAAA